rnacentral:rRNA from 1 species
GACGAACGCUGGCGGCGUGCCUAAUACAUGCAAGUAGAACGCUGAAGAGAGGAGCUUGCUCUUCUUGGAAGAGUUGCGAACGGGUGAGUAACGCGUAGGUAACCUGCCUUGUAGCGGGGGAUAACUAUUGGAAACGAUAGCUAAUACCGCAUAACAAUGGGUGACCCAUGUCAUUCAUUUGAAAGGGGCAACUGCUCCACUACAAGAUGGACCUGCGUUGUAUUAGCUAGUAGGUGAGGUAACGGCUCACCUAGGCGACGAUACAUAGCCGACCUGAGAGGGUGAUCGGCCACACUGGGACUGAGACACGGCCCAGACUCCUACGGGAGGCAGCAGUAGGGAAUCUUCGGCAAUGGGGGCAACCCUGACCGAGCAACGCCGCGUGAGUGAAGAAGGUUUUCGGAUCGUAAAGCUCUGUUGUAAGUCAAGAACGAGUGUGAGAGUGGAAAGUUCACACUGUGACGGUAGCUUACCAGAAAGGGACGGCUAACUACGUGCCAGCAGCCGCGGUAAUACGUAGGUCCCGAGCGUUGUCCGGAUUUAUUGGGCGUAAAGCGAGCGCAGGCGGUUUGAUAAGUCUGAAGUUAAAGGCUGUGGCUCAACCAUAGUUCGCUUUGGAAACUGUCAAACUUGAGUGCAGAAGGGGAGAGUGGAAUUCCAUGUGUAGCGGUGAAAUGCGUAGAUAUAUGGAGGAACACCGGUGGCGAAAGCGGCUCUCUGGUCUGUAACUGACGCUGAGGCUCGAAAGCGUGGGGAGCGGACAGG